UACGGCGGCCAUAGCGAAACGGGAAACACCCGGUCCCAUUCCGAACCCGGAAGUUAAGCCUUUCAGCGCCGAUGGUACUGCAACCGCGAGGUUGUGGGAGAGUAGGACGCCGCCGGAC
rnacentral:rRNA from 1 species